rnacentral:rRNA from 1 species
GGACGAGAAAGCCGGGGCAACCUGGUGAGUACAGCGGCGUACGGGUGAGUAACACGUGGAUCAUCUACCUCUUGGUGGGGAAUAACCCUGGGAAACCGGGGCUAAUACCGCAUGAGCCUGGAAAGGGAAAGCAGCAAUGCGCCGAGAGAGGAGUCCGCGGCCGAUUAGCUAGUUGGUAGGGUAACGGCCUACCAAGGCAAUGAUCGGUAGCCGGCCUGAGAGGGCACACGGCCACACUGGCACUGAAACACGGGCCAGACUCCUACGGGAGGCAGCAGUGGGGAAUCUUGCACAAUGGGGGAAACCCUGAUGCAGCGACGCCGCGUGAGUGAUGAAGCCCUUCGGGGUGUAAAGCUCUUUCGGCAGGAACGAUAAUGACGGUACCUGAAGAAGAAGCUGCGGCUAACUACGUG